rnacentral:rRNA from 1 species
UACGUAGGGUGCAAGCGUUGUCCGGAAUUAUUGGGCGUAAAGAGCUCGUAGGCGGUUUGUCGCGUCGGCUGUGAAAACUCGGGGCUCAACCCCGAGCCUGCAGUCGAUACGGGCAGACUAGAGUGCUGUAGGGGAGACUGGAAUUCCUGGUGUAGCGGUGAAAUGCGCAGAUAUCAGGAGGAACACCGGUGGCGAAGGCGGGACUCUGGGCCGAUACUGACGCUGAGGAGCGAAAGCGUGGGGAGCAAACAGG